rnacentral:tRNA from 1 species
CGCCGGAUCGCUCCGGCGGGGGUGAUUUCAGUUCGGGGCCGAAAGGAUCAAUCCUCGGACGGAUCUUCCACCGCUUCCGGCGUC